rnacentral:rRNA from 1 species
UACGGAGGGUGCAAGCGUUAUCCGGAUUCACUGGGUUUAAAGGGUGCGUAGGUGGGCAGGUAAGUCAGUGGUGAAAUCUCCGAGCUUAACUCGGAAACUGCCGUUGAUACUAUUUGUCUUGAAUAUUGUGGAGGUAGGCGGAAUAAGUCAUGUAGCGGUGAAAUGCAUAGAUAUGACUUAGAACACCAAUUGCGAAGGCAGCUUGCUAAACAAACAUUGACGCUGAGGCACGAAAGCGUGGGGAUCAAACAGG